GUGGGGAAUAUUGGACAAUGGGCGAAAGCCUGAUCCAGCCAUGCCGCGUGUGUGAAGAAGGUCUUCGGAUUGUAAAGCACUUUAAGUUGGGAGGAAGGGCAGUAAGUUAAUACCUUGCUGUUUUGACGUUACCGACAGAAUAAGCACCGGCUAACUUCGUGCCAGCAGCCGCGGUAAUACGAAGGGUGCAAGCGUUAAUCGGAAUUACUGGGCGUAAAGCGCGCGUAGGUGGUUUUGAAGUUGGAGGUGAAAUCCCCGGGCUCAACCUGGGAACUGCCUCCAAAACUGCAUGACUAGAGUACGGUAGAGGGUAGUGGAAUUUCCUGUGUAGCGGUGAAAUGCGUAGAUAUAGGAAGGAACACCAGUGGCGAAGGCGACUACCUGGACUGAUACUGACACUGAGGUGCGAAAGCGUGGGGAGCAAACAGGAUUAGAUACCCCGGUAGUCC
rnacentral:rRNA from 1 species